GAAAUCCAGGAAUGAUUUCAUCUUCAAUAAUAUUCAGCCUAGCUUCUAUAGAUGCAGAAGACUCUUCAAGGAGGAAUUAAUCUUGUCUUUCAUAGAUCUAGGGGAAAGAAAUAUGCCAACUUUGAGUCUUGAUUUAAAAUCUUAGAUAAUUUUCUUCUUUUUUUUGUGCUGCCCACCUCUGUACAGUUACAUUUUGUUUGCAAUAUAUGGCAGUGGGUUUUUUAACCUACUGUCUUGUGAGUUUACGCGUGUAUUUGUGAGCUUCUGUGUUUUUACGGUGUUU
rnacentral:lncRNA from 1 species